AUUCGCCCUUAGAGUUUGAUCCUGGCUCAGGACGAACGCUGGCGGCGUGCCUAAUACAUGCAAGUAGAACGCUGAAGACUUUAGCUUGCUAGAGUUGGAAGAGUUGCGAACGGGUGAGUAACGCGUAGGUAACCUGCCUAUUAGUGGGGGAUAACUAUUGGAAACGAUAGCUAAUACCGCAUAAUAGUGUUUAACACAUGUUAGAGACUUAAAAGAUGCAAUUGCAUCACUAGUAGAUGGACCUGCGUUGUAUUAGCUAGUUGGUGGGGUAACGGCCUACCAAGGCGACGAUACAUAGCCGACCUGAGAGGGUGAUCGGCCACACUGGGACUGAGACACGGCCCAGACUCCUACGGGAGGCAGCAGUAGGGAAUCUUCGGCAAUGGGGGCAACCCUGACCGAGCAACGCCGCGUGAGUGAAGAAGGUUUUCGGAUCGUAAAGCUCUGUUGUAAGAGAAGAACGUGUGUGAGAGUGGAAAGUUCACACAGUGACGGUAACUUACCAGAAAGGGACGGCUAACUACGUGCCAGCAGCCGCGGUAAUACGUAGGUCCCGAGCGUUGUCCGGAUUUAUUGGGCGUAAAGCGAGCGCAGGCGGUUUAAUAAGUCUGAAGUUAAAGGCAGUGGCUUAACCAUUGUUCGCUUUGGAAACUGUUAAACUUGAGUGCAGAAGGGGAGAGUGGGAUUCCAUGUGUAGCGGUGAAAUGCGUAGAUAUAUGGAGGAACACCGGUGGCGAAAGCGGCUCUCUGGUCUGUAACUGACGCUGAGGCUCGAAAGCGUGGGGAGCAAACAGGAUUAGAUACCCUGGUAGUCCACGCCGUAAACGAUGAGUGCUAGGUGUUAGGCCCUUUCCGGGGCUUAGUGCCGCAGCUAACGCAUUAAGCACUCCGCCUGGGGAGUACGACCGCAAGGUUGAAACUCAAAGGAAUUGACGGA
rnacentral:rRNA from 1 species